rnacentral:tRNA from 2 species
GCACCCCUAGCUCAAUUGGAUAGAGCAUCGGUCUACGGAACCGAAGGUUUCAGGUUCGAAUCCUGAGGGGUGUA